GAUGAACGCCGGCGGUGUGCCUAAUACAUGCAAGUCGAACGCGUUGGCCCAAUUGAUUGAUGGUGCUUGCACCUGAUAGAUUUUGGUCGCCAACGAGUGGCGGACGGGUGAGUAACACGUAGGUAACCUGCCCAGAAGCGGGGGACAACAUUUGGAAACAGAUGCUAAUACCGCAUAACAACGUUGUUCGCAUGAACAACGCUUAAAAGAUGGCUUCUCGCUAUCACUUCUGGAUGGACCUGCGGUGCAUUAGCUUGUUGGUGGGGUAAUGGCCUACCAAGGCGAUGAUGCAUAGCCGAGUUGAGAGACUGAUCGGCCACAAUGGGACUGAGACACGGCCCAUACUCCUACGGGAGGCAGCAGUAGGGAAUCUUCCACAAUGGGCGCAAGCCUGAUGGAGCAACACCGCGUGAGUGAAGAAGGGUUUCGGCUCGUAAAGCUCUGUUGUUAAAGAAGAACACGUAUGAGAGUAACUGUUCAUACGUGACGGAUUAACCAGAAAGCACGCA
rnacentral:rRNA from 2 species